CCUACGGGAUGCAGCAGUGAGGAAUCUUGGUCAAUGGGCGCGAGCCUGAACCAGCCAAGUAGCGUGAAGGAUGACUGCUCUACGGGCUGUAAACUUCUUUUAUAAAGGCAUAAAGUGAGGCACGUGUGCCUUUUUGUCUGUACUUUAUGAAUAAGGAUAGGCUAACUCCGUGACAGCAGCCGCGGUAAUACGGAGGGUCCGAGCGUUCUCCGGAUUUAUGGGGUUUAAAGGGAGCGUAGAUGGGUUGUUAAGUCAGUUGUGAAAGUUUGCGGCUCAACCGUAAAAUUGCAAUUGAUACUGGCAGUCUUGAGUACAGUUGAGGUAGGCGGAAUUCGUGGUGUAGCGGUGAAAUGCUUAGAUAUCACGAAGAACUCCGAUUGCGAAGGCAGCUUACUAAACUGCCACUGACAUUGAUGCUCGAAAGUGUGGGUAUCAAACAGGAUUAGAUACCCUAGUAGUC
rnacentral:rRNA from 1 species